AAAUUGAAGAGUUUGAUCAUGGCUCAGAUUGAACGCUGGCGGCAGGCCUAACACAUGCAAGUCGAACGGUAGCACAGAGAGCUUGCUCUCGGGUGACGAGUGGCGGACGGGUGAGUAAUGUCUGGGAAACUGCCUGAUGGAGGGGGAUAACUACUGGAAACGGUGGCUAAUACCGCAUAACGUCGCAAGACCAAAGAGGGGGACCUUCGGGCCUCUUGCCAUCAGAUGUGCCCAGAUGGGAUUAGCUUGUUGGUGAGGUAACGGCUCACCAAGGCGACGAUCC
rnacentral:rRNA from 1 species